rnacentral:rRNA from 1 species
CCCUUAGAUAUUCUGGGCCGCACGCGUGCUACACUGAACGGUUCAAUGGGUAAGGUAGUGCGAAAGCAUGACCUAAUCUCGAAAUCCGUUCGUGCUGGGGAUAGAAGCUUGCAAUUAUCCUUCUUGAACGAGGAAUACCUUGUAAGCGUGAGUCAUCAUCUCACGCUGAAUACGUCCCUGCCCUUUGUACACACCGCCCGUCGCUCCUACCGAUUGAGUGUUCCGGUGAGGCUUUGGGAGAAUGGCCUCAACAUGAGUUUAUCGUGUUUUGCCGUUUGAACUUAGUCAAACCUUAUCACUUAGAGGAAGGAGAAGUCGUAACA